UACGUAAGGUCCGAGCGUUGUCCGGAAUCAUUGGGCGUAAAGGGUACGUAGGCGGAUAAGCAAGUUAGAAGUGAAAUCCUAUAGCUCAACUAUAGUAAGCUUUUAAAACUGCUCAUCUUGAGGUUUGGAAGGGAAAGUGGAAUUCCUAGUGUAGCGGUGAAAUGCGUAGAUAUUUGGAGGAACACCGGUGGCGAAGGCGACUUUCUGGCCAUCAACUGACGCUGAGGCUCGAAAGUGUGGGUAGCAAACAGG
rnacentral:rRNA from 1 species